UAGGGAAUCUUCGGCAAUGGGGGCAACCCUGACCGAGCAACGCCGCGUGAGUGAAGAAGGUUUUCGGAUCGUAAAGCUCUGUUGUAAGAGAAGAACGUGUGUGAGAGUGGAAAGUUCACACAGUGACGGUAACUUACCAGAAAGGGACGGCUAACUACGUGCCAGCAGCCGCGGUAAUACGUAGGUCCCGAGCGUUGUCCGGAUUUAUUGGGCGUAAAGCGAGCACAGGCGGUUUAAUAAGUCUGAAGUUAAAGGCAGUGGCUUAACCAUUGUUCGCUUUGGAAACUGUUAAACUUGAGUGAAGAAGGGGAGAGUGGAAUUCCAUGUGUAGCGGUGACAUGCGUAGAUAUAUGGAGGAACACCGGUGGCGAAAGCGGCUCUCUGGUCUGUAACUGACGCUGAGGCUCGAAAGCGUGGGGAGCAAACAGG
rnacentral:rRNA from 1 species